UCGCCUGUUUAUCAAAAACAUGGUUUCUUGAAAUAAUUAAGAAAUUUAACCUGCCCACUGAGAUUGUUUUAAAGGGCCGCAGUAAUUUGACUGUGCAAAGGUAGCAUAAUCAUUAGUCUUUUAAUUGAAGGCUGGAAUGAAUGGUUGGACGAGGUAAAUACUGUUUCAUGGGAAUUUUAUGAAUUUAGGUUUUAAGUAAAAAAACUUAAAUAAAACUAAGGGACGAGAAGACCCUAUAGAGUUUAAUAAAUGAAGACUUGAUUGAGUUAAUAAUGAAUUUUUGAUUAUUUUAGAGUUUAUUUGAUUGGGGUGAUUAAAAGAUAGAUAGAACUCUUUUUUAAAAUAAAUUAUAUGAUUAGGUUUAAGAUCCAAGUUUAAUGAUUAAAAGAUUAAAUUACCUUAGGGAUAACAGCAUAAUUCUUUUUGAGAGUUCUUAUCAAAAAAGGAGAUUGUGACCUCGAUGUUGGAUUAAGAGUAUUAUUAGGUGUAGAAGUUUAAGUAAUAGGUCUGUUCGACCUUUAAACUCUUACAUGAUCUGAGUUCAAACCGGAGA
rnacentral:rRNA from 1 species